ACCCGCUGAACUUAAGCAUAUCAAUAAGCGGAGGAAAAGAAACCAACAGGGAUUACCUCAGUAACGGCGAGUGAAGCGGUAAUAGCUCAAAUUUGAAAUCUGGCUCUUUCAGGGUCCGAGUUGUAAUUUGUAGAGGAUGUUUCGGGCACGGUUGCGGUUUAAAUUUCUUGGAACAGAAUGUCAAAGAGGGUGAGAGUCCCGUCUUGAACCGAUUACUUCGUCCAUGUGAAACUCCUUCGACGAGUCGAGUUGUUUGGGAAUGCAGCUCAAAAUGGGUGGUAAAUUUCAUCUAAAGCUAAAUAUUGGCCAGAGACCGAUAGCGCACAAGUAGAGUGAUCGAAAGAUGAAAAGCACUUUGAAAAGAGAGUUAAACAGUAUGUGAAAUUGUUGAAAGGGAAGCGCUUGUAAUCAGACUUGAGCUUAACAGUUCCCCCUUCGUUCUCGUUGGGUUAUUCUGUUUUGUCCAGGCCAACAUCAGUUCGGGUGGUUGGUUAAAGACUUUAGGAAUGUAUCUACCUUUCGGGGUCGACUUAUAGCCUAGAGUGUCAUGCAGCCUACCUGGACUGAGGAACGCGCUUCGGCUCGGAUGUUGGCGUAAUGGUUAUAAGCGACCCGUCUUGAAACACGG
rnacentral:rRNA from 1 species